rnacentral:tRNA from 1 species
AAGAAGAUGGCAGAGUGGUUAUGUGAUCGGCUUGAAACCGGUUUAUGGGGGUUCGAUUCCCUCUCUUUUCG